rnacentral:rRNA from 2 species
UACGGAGGGUGCGAGCGUUGUCCGGAAUCACUGGGCGUAAAGGGCGCGUAGGUGGCCUGUGGAAGUCUGCGGUGAAAGCCCGGCGCUCAACGCCGGGUCGGCCGUGGAUACUCUCGGGCUCGAGCUUACUAGAGGCAGAUGGAAUUCCGGGUGUAGCGGUGGAAUGCGUAGAGAUCCGGAAGAACACCGGUGGCGAAGGCGGUCUGCUGGGGUAAUGCUGACACUGAUGCGCGACAGCGUGGGGAGCAAACAGG